GCAAGUCGAACGCUUCUUUUUCCACCGGAGCUUGCUCCACCGNGAAAAAGAGGAGUGGCGAACGGGUGAGUAACACGUGGGUAACCUGCCCAUCAGAAGGGGAUAACACUUGGAAACAGGUGCUAAUACCGUAUAACAAUCAAAACCGCAUGGUUUUGAUUUGAAAGGCGCUUUCGGGUGUCGCUGAUGGAUGGACCCGCGGUGCAUUAGCUAGUUGGUGAGGUAACGGCUCACCAAGGCCACGAUGCAUAGCCGACCUGAGAGGGUGAUCGGCCACAUUGGGACUGAGACACGGCCCAAACUCCUACGGGAGGCAGCAGUAGGGAAUCUUCGGCAAUGGACGAAAGUCUGACCGAGCAACGCCGCGUGAGUGAAGAAGGUUUUCGGAUCGUAAAACUCUGUUGUUAGAGAAGAACAAGGAUGAGAGUAACUGUUCAUCCCUUGACGGUAUCUAACCAGAAAGCCACGGCUAACUACGUGCCAGCAGCCGCGGUAAUACGUAGGUGGCAAGCGUUGUCCGGAUUUAUUGGGCGUAAAGCGAGCGCAGGCGGUUUCUUAAGUCUGAUGUGAAAGCCCCCGGCUCAACCGGGGAGGGUCAUUGGAAACUGGGAGACUUGAGUGCAGAAGAGGAGAGUGGAAUUCCAUGUGUAGCGGUGAAAUGCGUAGAUAUAUGGAGGAACACCAGUGGCGAAGGCGGCUCUCUGGUCUGUAACUGA
rnacentral:rRNA from 1 species